rnacentral:lncRNA from 1 species
AGUGAACUUCUGUUGAUCUCACUUGCCCAGUAUCAGAUGUCAUGUAUUCUCACAUUCCCAAACCAGAGGGUGGUGUUAUAGUUUGGAUCUUAAGUGUCCCCCAAAAGCCAUAGGCUAAAGGCUUGGUUGCUAAUCAGUGGUACAAUCGGGAGAUAGGGCUUAGAUGAAGGAAGUUAGCUCAUUGAGGGCAUGACCUUCGAGGAGAUGUUGGGGCCCUGGCCCCUUCCUGUCUCUAUCUUGCUCCCUGGAUGUUGUGAGGUGAGAAGCCUCCUCUGACAUAUGCUCCCUGCUCUGAUGCUCUGCCUUAUCAUGGACCCAAAGCAAUGUAGCCAGCUGACCAAGAACUGAUACCUCGGAACCGUAAGCCAAAAUAAAUCUUUCCUACUAACACCUGAUUAUCUCAGUUAUUUUGUUACAGGCAUGGUAAGUUGACUAACACAGGCUGGAAUCCUCCCUCACCAAUGGGAUGAAGAGGAGUUGAUUAAAACACUACACCAUGUGUUGUGUGACUCAGGAGCCAGCACAAAUGUAGUAUGUUUGUAUGUAUAUUGAAUUGUUACGGAGCCUGAUGAAAGGUAAGAAAGCUUCUUUGUUGAAGUCUAAGACCUUUUGUUAAUCUCCUCUCCAACUGUAUCUGAGAUUUAUUUUCUACCUGCCUGGCUAUAUUUUCAAUUGUUCUUUCAAUUUCUGCUACAAUUUUUCUAGAUGGGAUCUGACAGAAUUAUGGUCCCCGUAGAAAUCCAGACAAUCUGAGUUCUGUGUACUGGAACUGCGUGUACAUUCAGCCAAGCGUGCUGUCAGUAUUGCUAAUCAAUACUGAAAACCUGCAACACUCUAAUCCCAAAGCUCUGAUUACAGAAUUAUAUACAGUUGGUUUUGCCCUUCAUCCCAAGAUUUUUUUUCCUCCUUCCUCCAAAAUAAACCCCUUGGCAACUCUUCUUUUGCUUAUUCCAGGAUUCAUGGUAGAACACCAAUCUUCAUUUCCACCUUUAUUUUCCUGGAGAUCUUCUCAGUGUUACUGGAGGAAGAUACUAAAAAAGCUUGAACAAAGAUGCAUUUUUCCUGCUUAGAAUAUCCUUGUUAAGCUUUGCCCCAGUCCACUAUAGAAGCAAUGAUUAAAAUUAUAAAUAUGCUUUCCCCUACAUAUUGCAUUGAAAGAAUAUAAAAGUUAGUGGAGAAGAGUAUUUAGCAACACUUGAGGACCAUACUGGUGCUCUCAUGUUUUUUUAUUCUUCUUCUGAUUGACAAAUUUGCCUCAACAUCUUGAUGAUCUAGAAUUGUCCCUAUUUAAGAUGUUCUCUCUCUCUUUUCCACCUUUACCAUGAAAUUUCUCCUUUGAAGUUACCUCUGCAUUCUUUACCACUAUCCAUAUUUCUUUUUGCCUAAAAAUGUCCAGUUGUAAUUCCAGUUAUUAGGGAAAAUUAAGCACAUAUGUUUUUAAGACCAUGAAAUAAGUGUUCAGAGAUGCAAAAAAAUAAACUGAAGUUUCCUGAAGUUUUAGUUGAGUAAACAUACAAAUUUUGAUCAUUAUAACAUGGGUCAAAAAUAUGUAUUUUCAAGAAAGCCUUCAUUGUUGGAAAUGGUUUUCUUAGAUAAAUGGCUGGCUGAUACAAGGUAAUAAAGUUCACAGAAUCAUUAUUAUUUUUUCUUUUUUGUAUUUGAAAUGAUAAUAUUUUCAAAGGCAUCAGCACCAAUAGCUUAUCUUCUCCCUCUACUGCUGUUUUCCCAUCUGAGACAAUGUAUAUUACACCCAUUAUCAUGAUUCUUGUAGCAAUAUGCCUGCAUGGCAUUUAUAACUACAGAGAUGAUUAAUUACCACCACUGCAACAUCCUUUGAGACUCUCUCUUUCUGCUUUGAACAUCCAGUAUACUAAAAUAAUACAAUAUGGCAUAUAUCAACACCUGGUUUAAUAGAAAGCAAUAGUUAUGGCUAGCUUAAUUAGGUUAGAACAUUC